rnacentral:rRNA from 1 species
CCUACGGGAGACAGCAGUGAGGAAUAUUGGUCAAUGGACGAGAGUCUGAACCAGCCAAGUAGCGUGAAGGAUGACUGCCCUAUGGGUUGUAAACUUCUUUUAUAUGGGAAUAAAAUGUUCCACGUGUGGGAUUUUGUAUGUACCAUAUGAAUAAGGAUCGGCUAACUCCGUGCCAGCAGCCGCGGUAAUACGGAGGAUCCGAGCGUUAUCCGGAUUUAUUGGGUUUAAAGGGUGCGUAGGUGGAUUGUUAAGUCAGUUGUGAAAGUGUGCGGCUCAACCGUAAAAUUGCAGUUGAAACUGGCAGUCUUGAGUACAGUAGAGGUGGGCGGAAUUCGUGGUGUAGCGGUGAAAUGCUUAGAUAUCACGAAGAACUCCGAUUGCGAAGGCAGUUCACUGGACUGCAACUGACACUGAGGCUCGAAAGUGUGGGUAUCAAACAGGAUUAGAUACCCGAGUAGUC